AAAACUUUUUCGAAGGAAAAUCAGUUCUGAUCAGUUUAACAUCUGAUACGUACCCUAUCCAGGGACUACAUAUUAAAAGGAUUUUUAGAUCAUGGAGCCGGGGCUUGCUCUGUCCACUCCACGAUUCGGCCUGGUAUUGCAGUGUCUCCAGGAACAGUGUGGUUCCCCUUUC
rnacentral:snRNA from 1 species